AGCAGCGUACCAGUAACAUCGAAUGUCACCAGGCGUGGUCGCACGUAUUUGAUCAUCGUUAAAGUCUAUCUGCAAAUCAUGAUACAUGAUAUACAGAACACUGUUUUAGGGAAAACUUUACUUUGGGGGACCAAAAAUUUCGGACUUUUUGUAUGAUCCACGUAAACUUUGACGAGAGAAUCACAAGAAUAUAAAGGCACCGGCUAUAUUGGUUCGUAGUCAUUGUCGGACACCGUCAAACGAUAUUCAACGAUCACUGGCAGUUGGUAUGGUUAACGCAGUGUUUCCAGUUCCUGACACGAAACGAAAUAGGGGAGAGACCCACCACCCACCGUCGCACUCCUCCGUAACGUCUCGUUAUGGAGCCGGCUUAAAAAUGUCUUUCGGGUGGUGGUUCGGAGACCUCGCAAUUGUGAUUGGAUUUCAAUGGCAAUCCAUUGGUAUUAUCUAAUCCCACCACUCGCUGGCACAUUCCGACCCCCCUCCUUCCGGUCGAGUUGCGUGGCUCGGGGCGGCGACCCCCAAACCCAAAAGAAAACAUACCACGAACGAGUGCAUACAGUGUUCUGUAUUUGAAUUAAAAUACGAGAAUGAAUUAUUACAUCGUUUUGUGAUACACUUUGCACACUAUAGGUUCACGCAAUAAUCCAUAUUCGCAUGUCCAAACAGUAACAGCUUCGUUUGUAAUUGAUAAAUUGCAGAAGUUAUAUUUCCUGCUCUCUAUUUUUGCGUCGACUAAAAAAUAUGUACUGCCCGUCCACGAGAAAAUGGCACAGAAGCGACCUCGCUUUUAGGCGUAGUUCGCGUCUAGUUUUUCUAUACCAUCUUCUCGAGGACGGAGUAUACAUACAUAUGUAUGGGGUACAUAUUAGGAAUUCGAAUUCGAAUUACCUCUCAAAGAUGGCUGCGCCUACGUGCUGCUGCUGCCAUCUAGCGAUUCCGCUCAUUGGACGAUGUCUAGCAAGUACGAACCAAUAUGGCGACGCCCUUACCCGUCAAAAACGUUUCAAAUUCCUCGACUUGGCACACGUAUAGGUUUCGAACCAAUGAAUUUUUAACUUCGAAACUUACACUUUUGACGGUUUCUCUUUAAAACCUUCGAGAUUGUACGAAAAUAAAUUUUAGUUUAAAGUUUAA